rnacentral:rRNA from 1 species
GAAUAGGGGAGCCGGAGGGAAACCGAGUCUUAACCGGGCGUUAAGUUGCAGGGUAUAGACCCGAAACCCGGUGAUCUAGCCAUGGGCAGGUUGAAGGUUGGGUAACACUAACUGGAGGACCGAACCGACUAAUGUUGAAAAAUUAGCGGAUGACCUGUGGCUGGGGGUGAAAGGCCAAUCAAACCGGGAGAUAGCUGGUUCUCCCCGAAAGCUAUUUAGGUAGCGCCUCGUGAAUUCAUCUCCGGGGGUAGAGCACUGUUUCGGCUAGGGGGCCAUCCCGGCUUACCAACCCGAUGCAAACUGCGAAUACCGGAGAAUGUUAUCACGGGAGACACACGGCGGGUGCUAACGUCCGUCGUGAAGAGGGAAACAACCCAGACCGCCAGCUAAGGUCCCAAAGUCAUGGUUAAGUGGGAAACGAUGUGGGAAGGCCCAGACAGCCAGGAUGUUGGCUUAGAAGCAGCCAUCAUUUAAAGAAAGCGUAAUAGCUCACUGGUCGAGUCGGCCUGCGCGGAAGAUGUAACGGGGCUAAACCAUGCACCGAAGCUGCGGCAGCGACGCUGAUGCGUUGUUGGGUAGGGGAGCGUUCUGUAAGCCUGCGAAGGUGGCCUGUGAGGGUUGCUGGAGGUAUCAGAAGUGCGAAUGCUGACAUAAGUAACGAUAAAGCGGGUGAAAAGCCCGCUCGCCGGAAGACCAAGGGUUCCUGUCCAACGUUAAUCGGGGCAGGGUGAGUCGACCCCUAAGGCGAGGCCGAAAGGCGUAGUCGAUGGGAAACGGGUUAAUAUUCCCGUACUUGGUGUUACUGCGAAGGGGGGACGGAGAAGGCUAUGUUGGCCGGGCGACGGUU